ensembl:rRNA 5S_rRNA 5S ribosomal RNA
AUCUAAGGCCAUACCACCCUGAAGGUGUCCCAUCAUCUCCUCUGAUCUCAGAAGCUAAGUAGGGUCAGGUCUGGUUAGUACUUGGAUGGGAGAAUGCGCAUGAGACAUUGGCCUCUUCAUC